rnacentral:rRNA from 1 species
GACGAACGCUGGCGGCGUGCUUAACACAUGCAAGUCGAACGGAAAGGCCCUGCUUUUGUGGGGUGCUCGAGUGGCGAACGGGUGAGUAACACGUGAGUAACCUGCCCUUGACUUUGGGAUAACUUCAGGAAACUGGGGCUAAUACCGGAUAGGAGCUCCUGCUGCAUGGUGGGGGUUGGAAAGUUUCGGCGGUUGGGGAUGGACUCGCGGCUUAUCAGCUUGUUGGUGGGGUAGUGGCUUACCAAGGCUUUGACGGGUAGCCGGCCUGAGAGGGUGACCGGCCACAUUGGGACUGAGAUACGGCCCAGACGCCUACGGGAGGCAGCAGUGGGGAAUAUUGCACAAGGGGCGGAAGCCUGAUGCAGCAACGCCGCGUGCGGGAUGACGGCCUUCGGGUUGUAAACCGCUUUCGCCUGUGACGAAGCGUGAGUGACGGUAAUGGGUAAAGAAGCACCGGCUAACUACGU